rnacentral:rRNA from 1 species
UACGAAGGGAGCUAGCGUUGUUCGGAAUCACUGGGCGUAAAGCGCACGUAGGCGGAUGUGUCAGUCAGGGGUGAAAUCCCGGAGCUCAACUUCGGAACUGCCCUUGAUACAGCACGUCUUGAGUCCGGAAGAGGUGGGUGGAAUUCCUAGUGUAGAGGUGAAAUUCGUAGAUAUUAGGAAGAACACCGGUGGCGAAGGCGGCCCACUGGUCCGGUACUGACGCUGGGGUGCGAAAGCGUGGGGAGCAAACAGG